UCCACCUCCGCCUAGGACUUCCUGAUGCAACAUAUCAACAAGAAGGAGUCCUGGAUUGGUCUCCAGGAUCUCAACAUGGAGGGAGAGUUCGUAUGGCCAGAUGGGAGCCCCGUGGGUUAUAGCAACUGGAGUCCAGGGGAGCCCAACAAUGGGGGCCAGGGUGAGGACUGUGUCAUGAUGCGGGGAUCUGGCCAGUGGAAUGACGCCUUCUGCCGCAGCUACCUGGAUGCCUGGGUGUGUGAGCAGCUGGCAACCUGUGACCUAUCCGCCCCCUUAGCCUCUGUGACGCCAACAGGACCCACCCCCAAGAAUGAACCCUGACUAAGUUCUGUGCUUCCUCUCCUGGAUUUCUCCUCUACCUUUGUCAUGGAAACAACCAGGCCUUGAGGAUGCCCCUGUCAAGGCCCGAUUGCUCUCUGUGACUGAGGCUAGGAUUAUGUCCCCUCCCAAACUGAAGUGGCUGGUGGAGGCCAGCUCCUGCCAGCUAUCCAGAAAGCCUCUCCCGCUAAGCUGACCAUUCCAUUCCGUCUGCCCUCUUCAAACCUGAGCCCCAGCCAUACUGGCAUCUGUGGGCAGUUAAGCCAACCCAGGAGCUACUGAGAACAAAGAUUCUGAGGAAGGCUUCUUCUGCAGUCCCCACCGCCUAUCAAGUCUUCCAUUUUCUUCUACGCUGCAUCGGAGAACAGAGGUUCCCUCUCCCCAGGAUCCGGAAGUGAGUCCUCCCAUCAAGUGUGCACCAGUGAAAUCCAGUCAUGGCUGGUCCCC
rnacentral:lncRNA from 1 species